rnacentral:lncRNA from 10 species
GGCCACUGCACUCUAGCCUGGGUAGCAAACUGAGAACGUGUCUCAACAACAAAACAACACAACAACAACAACAACAACAACAGCGGCAGAUGAAAGUAAGCGUCCAGGAAAACCUUUAAUUUGGGUGGACAGCCAGAGCUCCCAGAGUUUUGGAAUUCAUUAACCAGUAAUGUUGAAAAAAACUGAUGCCGUUGUAAGGAUACCAAGUUUUGAUUUUGCCAGGGAGAUGCUGCACUCUGAUUGGUCAGGUCAGAUUGCUCAUCUUUGCAGCUGGAUGGAGCAGUCAGCCACAGCCAAACUAGACUCACUGAGAAUGAGUAGUGGUUUCCCAAAGGAAAUCAGGAUGCUGUUAUCAAGAGAAGAGGAGAAAAAAUGUGGAGCCACCC